GAUGAACGCUGGCGGCGUGCUUAACACAUGCAAGUCGAACGAAGCAUUUAAGACAGAUUACUUCGGUUUGAAGUCUUUUAUGACUGAGUGGCGGACGGGUGAGUAACGCGUGGGUAACCUGCCUCAUACAGGGGGAUAGCAGCUGGAAACGGCUGGUAAUACCGCAUAAGCGCACAGUACCACAUGGUACAGUGUGAAAAACUCCGGUGGUAUGAGAUGGACCCGCGUCUGAUUAGCUUGUUGGCGGGGUAACGGCCCACCAAGGCGACGAUCAGUAGCCGAGCAGAGAGGGUGACCGGCCACAUUGGGACUGAGACACGGCCCAGACUCCUACGGGAGGCAGCAGUGGGGAAUAUUGCACAAUGGAGGAAACUCUGAGGCAGCGACGCCGCGUGAGUGAAGAAGUAGUUCGCUAUGUAAAGCUCUAUCAGCAGGGAAGACAGUGACGGUACCUGACUAAGAAGCUCCGGCUAAAUACGUG
rnacentral:rRNA from 1 species